rnacentral:rRNA from 1 species
UACGUAGGGGCUAGCGUUAUCCGGAAUUACUGGGCGUAAAGGGUGCGUAGGCGGUCUUUCAAGCCAGAAGUGAAAGGCUACGGCUCAACCGUAGUAAGCUUUUGGAACUGUAAGACUUGAGUGCAGGAGAGGAGAGUGGAAUUCCUAGUGUAGCGGUGAAAUGCGUAGAUAUCAGGAGGAACACCGGCGGCGAAGGCGGCUUGCUGGACGGCAACUGACGUUGAGGCUCGAAAGCGUGGGGAGCAAACAGGAUUAGAUACCCCCGUAGUCCCUGAGCGGG